UACGAAGGGGGCUAGCGUUGCCCGGAAUCACUGGGCGUAAAGCGCACGUAGGCGGCUUGUCAAGUCAGGGGUGAAAUCCUGGAGCUCAACUCCAGAACUGCCUUUGAUACUGGCAAUCUCGAGUUCGGGAGAGGUGAGUGGAACUGCGAGUGUAGAGGUGAAAUUCGUAGAUAUUCGCAAGAACACCAGUGGCGAAGGCGGCUCACUGGCCCGAUACUGACGCUGAGGUGCGAAAGCGUGGGGAGCAAACAGG
rnacentral:rRNA from 1 species